AUUGAACGCUGGCGGCAGGCCUAACACAUGCAAGUCGAGCGGUAGAGAGGUGCUUGCAUCUCCUGAGAGCGGCGGACGGGUGAGUAAUGCCUAGGAAUCUGCCUAGUGGUGGGGGAUAACGUUCGGAAACGGACGCUAAUACCGCAUACGUCCUACGGGAGAAAGCGGGGGAUCUUCGGACCUCGCGCCAUUAGAUGAGCCUAGGUCGGAUUAGCUAGUUGGUGAGGUAAUGGCUCACCAAGGCGACGAUCCGUAACUGGUCUGAGAGGAUGAUCAGUCACACUGGAACUGAGACACGGUCCAGACUCCUACGGGAGGCAGCAGUGGGGAAUAUUGGACAAUGGGCGCAAGCCUGAUCCAGCCAUGCCGCGUGAGUGAUGAAGGCCUUAGGGUUGUAAAGCUCUUUUGUCCGGGAAGAUAAUGACUGUACCGGAAGAAUAAGCCCCGGCUAACUUCGUGCCAGCAGCCGCGGUAAUGUAGACG
rnacentral:rRNA from 1 species